rnacentral:piRNA from 1 species
UGUAUCAUUAUCUUUAGAAAGC